rnacentral:rRNA from 1 species
AUACGUAGGUGACAAGCGUUAUCCGGAUUUACUGGGCGUAAAGGGCGUGUAGGCGGUCUUGCAAGUCAGAAGUGAAAUUCCUGAGCUCAACUCGGGCGCUGCUUCUGAAACUGCAGGACUUGAGUGCUGGAGGGGAUAGCGGAAUUCCUAGUGGAGCGGUAAAAUGCGCAGAACUUAGGAAGAACACCGGCGGCGAAGCCGGCUAUCAGGACAGUAACUGCCGCUGAGGCGCGAAAGCGUGGGGAGCUAAGAGUAUAAGAUACCCUGGUAGUCCACGCCUUAAACGAUGAAUACUAGGUGUAGGGGGUAUCGACUCCCUCGGUGCCGCAGUUAACACAAUAAGUAUGCCGCCUGGGGAGUACGGCCGCAAGGUUGAAACUCAAAUGAAUUGACGGGG